AGAACCCCUCACACCACCAGAAGAUUAUCAAGGUCCUCCAAGGCUGUGCAGACUGCCUUCCCCAGGAGAUCACCGAGCUCAAGACACAGAUGUGGCAGCUCCUCAAGGGCCACGACCACCUGCAGGAUGAGUUUUCUAUCUUCUUUGACCACUUGCGCCCAGCAGCUAGCCGGAUGGGUGACUUUGAAGAGAUCAAUUGGACUGAGGAAAAGGAGUAUGAGUUUGAUGGCUUCGAAGAAGUGGCCCUGCCUGAUGUGGAAGAAGAGGAGGAGCCUCCCAAGAUACCCACAGCCUCAAAGAACAAGAGGAAAAAAGAGAUUGGGGUCCAAAAUCAUGAUAAGGAGACUGAGUGGCCAGAUGGGGCCAAGGACUGUGCCUGCUCUUGCCAUGAAGGAGGUCCAGAUUCCAAGCUGAAGAAGAGCAAAAGGCGGAGCUGUAGCCGCUGUAGCAGCAAGGUGAGGAAAGUUUCAAGGGCACUGGUCCCGAGGGUGUCAGAGCUGCUGGGGGAUUGUUUGCUACCAAGAAUUGUACCUUAUUGAAUUCCUAAAAAGGCACAUAUAUAAAUAACAUUCAGUACACACAUAUGUGUACAUAUGCAAAAUAAAUGGAAUCUGCUAGAAAUAUGUGAUUUUGUUUUUUAAAGAGAAUUCUGUGAGUAAAGCUUUUGGAAUUGGAAAAACAAAAUACCAGUUAAAAUAUUUCCCUCAGAUAUUAGAAAAUGAAAUAAACCUCUGUCAUGAAAAUAGUCUCUACAAGUAAUCCUGGUUCUCUAGAAUGGAGUUGGUUGGCAGGAAAAACACAGUUCUUGGUGAGAG
rnacentral:sRNA from 1 species